rnacentral:rRNA from 1 species
UACGUAGGGUGCGAGCGUUAAUCGGAAUUACUAGGGCGUAAACGUGCGCAGGUGGUCAUGCAAGACAGAUGGUGAAAUCCCCGGGCUUAACCUGGGAACUGCAUUUGUGACUGCACGGCUAGAGUGCGGCAGAGGGGGAUGGAAUUCCGCGUGUAGCAGUGAAAUGCGUAGAUAUGCGGAGGAACACCGAUGGCGAAGGCAAUCCCUGGGCCGUAACUGACGACGUGAGGAG